rnacentral:rRNA from 1 species
GACGAACGCUGGCGGCGUGCUUAACACAUGCAAGUCGAACGGAAAGGCCCUGCUUUUGUGGGGUGCUCGAGUGGCGAACGGGUGAGUAACACGUGAGUAACCUGCCCUUGACUUUGGGAUAACUUCAGGAAACUGGGGCUAAUACCGGAUAGGAGCUCCUGCUGCAUGGUGGGGGUUGGAAAGUUUCGGCGGUUGGGGAUGGACUCGCGGCUUAUCAGCUUGUUGGUGGGGUAGUGGCUUACCAAGGCUUUGACGGGUAGCCGGCCUGAGAGGGUGACCGGCCACAUUGGGACUGAGAGACGGACCAGACUCCUACGGGAGGCAGCAGUGGGGAAUAUUGCACAAUGGGCGGAAGCCUGAUGCAGCAACGACGAGUGCGGGAUGACGGCCUUCGGGUUGUAAACCGCUUUCGCCUGUGACGAAGCGUGAGUGACGGUAAUGGGUAAAGAAGCACCGGCUAACUACGUG